rnacentral:rRNA from 1 species
UACGUGGGGUGCAAGCGUUGUCCGGAAUUAUUGGGCGUAAAGAGCUCGUAGGCGGUCUGUCACGUCGGCUGUGAAAACCCGAGGCUCAACCUCGGGCCUGCAGUCGAUACGGGCAAACUAGAGUACUGCAGGGGAGACUGGAAUUCCUGGUGUAGCGGUGAAAUGCGCAGAUAUCAGGAGGAACACCGGUGGCGAAGGCGGGUCUCUGGGCAGUAACUGACGUGGAGGAGCGGAAAGCGUGGGGGAGCGAACAGGA